UACGUAGGCAGCGAGCGUUGUUCGGAGUUACUGGGCGUAAAGGGCGCGUAGGCGGCCCGCUAAGUCGAACGUGAAAUCCCCAGGCUCAACCUGGGAACUGCGUCUGAUACUGGAUGGCUUGAAUCCGGGAGAGGGAUGCAGAAUUCCAGGUGUAGCGGUGAAAUGCGUAGAUAUCUGGAGGAAUACCGGUGGCGAAGGCGGCAUCCUGGACCGGCAUUGACGCUGAGGAGCGAAAGCCAGGGGAGCAAAGCGGG
rnacentral:rRNA from 1 species